CCUACGGGUGGCAGCAGUGGGGAAUAUUGCUCAAUGGGGGAAACCCUGAUGCAGCAACGCCGCGUGAGUGAAGAAGUAUUUCGGUAUGUAAAGCCCUUUCAGCAGGGAAGAAAAUGACGGUACCUGAGUAAGAAGCCCCGGCUAACUACGUGCCAGCAGCCGCGGUCAUACGUAGGGUGCAAGCGUUAUCCGGAGUUACUGGGUGUAAAGGGAGCGUAGACGGGGUAACAAGUCUGAUGUGAAAGCCCAGGGCGCAACCCCAGGACUGCCUUUGAAACUGGCAUGCUGGCGUGCAGGAGAGGCAAGCGGAAUUCGUGGUGUAGCGGUGAAAUGCGUAGAUAUUAGGAAGAACAC
rnacentral:rRNA from 1 species